UAAAGAAUUUCGGUCAUCGAUGGGGAUGCGUUCCAUUAGCUUGUUGGCGGGGUAACGGCCCACCAAGGCAUCGAUGGAUAGGGGUUCUGAGAGGAAGGUCCCCCACAUUGGAACUGAGACACGGUCCAAACUCCUACGGGAGGCAGCAGUGAGGAAUAUUGGUCAAUGGGCGCUAGCCUGAACCAGCCAAGUAGCGUGAAGGAUGACUGCCCUAUGGGUUGUAAACUUCUUUUAUAUGGGAAUAAAGUGCAGUAUGUAUACUGCUUUGCAUGUACCUUAUGAAUAAGGAUCGGCUAACUCCGUGCCAGCAGCCGCGGUAAUACGGAGGAUCCGAGCGUUAUCCGGAUUUAUUGGGUUUAAAGGGAGCGUAGGCGGGUUGUUAAGUCAGUUGUGAAAGUUUGCGGCUCAACCGUAAAAUUGCAGUUGAUACUGGCAUCCUUGAGUACAGUAGAGGUAGGCGGAAUUCGUGGUGUAGCGGUGAAAUGCUUAGAUAUCACGAAGAACUCCGAUUGCGAAGGCAGCCUGCUGGACUGUAACUGACGCUGAUGCUCGAAAGUGUGGGUAUCAAACAGGAUUAGAUACCCUGGUAGUCCACACAGUAAAAGAUGAAUACUCGCUGUUUGCGAUAUACAGUAA
rnacentral:rRNA from 1 species